GCAUAUCAAUAAGCGGAGGAAAAGAAACCAACAGGGAUUGCCUCAGUAACGGCGAGUGAAGCGGCAAGAGCUCAAAUUUGAAAUCUGGCCCCUUCGGGGUCCGAGUUGUAAUUUGUAGAGGAUGCUUCGGGUGCGGCCCCCGUCUAAGUGCUCUGGAACGGGCCAUCGGAGAGGGUGAGAAUCCCGUCUGGGACGGGGUGUCCGCGUCCAUGUGAAGCUCCUUCGACGAGUCGAGUUGUUUGGGAAUGCAGCUCUAAAUGGGUGGUAAAUUUCAUCUAAAGCUAAAUACUGGCCGGAGACCGAUAGCGCACAAGUAGAGUGAUCGAAAGAUGAAAAGCACUUUGAAAAGAGAGUUAAACAGCACGUGAAAUUGUUGAAAGGGAAGCGCUUGCGACCAGACUCGCUUCCGGGGUUCAGCCGGCUUUCGGGCCGGUGUACUUCCCCGGGGGCGGGCCAGCGUCGGUUUGGGCGGCCGGUCAAAGGCCCCUGGAAUGUAACGCCCCUCGGGGCGCCUUAUAGCCAGGGGUGUCAUGCGGCCAGCCUGGACCGAGGAACGCGCUUCGGCACGGACGCUGGCAUAAUGGUCGUAAACGACCCGUCUUGAAACACGGACC
rnacentral:rRNA from 1 species